CUGACAUGACCUGCAGGACUUUCAGAGUGAAAAAGUAUAAUACUAGGGGUGUCACAAUACACUCAGCUCACAAGACAAGACAAUACACAAUCCUGGAUUCAAGAGAACAAGAUGAGACAAGAAUAUAAGCAUGUCUACAUUUUCUAUCAGCAGCUGAGACCUCUGGCCACUAACUAUGUCUCCUGCAGAUGAAAGGACAAGCUCACUUGGAACAAAGGUGGCAGAGAUGGAAAGGUUGCAAGGGGCAGGUGGUUGACAAAAAUCCAUAUCGUGCAUCCCUACUGGGACCUCCAAGAAACUGCAGAUGAACAUUCAUUCAACAUCCAGAAACUCACAUUACUGACAAUACCACUGACUACCCUUGGAACAAAUUAGACACAUUUUCGCACACUAUGGUUUGACCUA